CCAACGUGGAUAACCCGGGAGGUCACUCUCCCCGGGCUCUGUCCAGGUGGCAUAGGGGAGCACAGGGCUCUGCCCCAUGAUGUACAGUCCCUUUCCACAACGUUGGAGACGAAGCUGGGCUUUGUGUCUGCACCUGCAUAUUCCUACGACUUCUCAGAGUCUGUGGACUAUGAUUGAGGAGGCAAACCAUGCAGGAAACAAUA
rnacentral:snoRNA from 1 species